UCGGCGUGCCUAAUACAUGCAAGUCGUAACAAGGUAACCGUAAGUCCCCUUCGGGGUGCUUCUGGCGGAAUGAGCGGCGCACGGUUGAGUAACACGUGGGCAACCUGCCUGUAAGACUGGGAUAACUUCGGGAAACCGGAGCUAAUACCGGAUAGUAUUUCCUUUCUCCUGAUUGGAAAUGGAAAGACGGUUUCUGCUGUCACUUACAGAUGGGCCCGCGGUGCAUUAGCUAGUUGGCGGGGUAAUGGCCCACCAAGGCGACGAUGCAUAGCCGACCUGAGAGGGUGAUCGGCCACACUGGGACUGAGACACGGCCCAGACUCCUACGGGAGGUAGCAGUAGGGAAUCUUCCUCAAUGGACGAAAGUCUGACGGAGCAACGCCGCGUGAGCGAUGAAAGCCUUCUGGU
rnacentral:rRNA from 1 species